rnacentral:rRNA from 1 species
GCCGCGGUAAUUCCAGCUCCAAUAGCGUAUAUUAAAGUUGUUGCGGUUAAAAAGCUCGUAGUUGGACUUGUGUCCCACGCCGUCAGUUCGUGGCCCGUCCACGUAACUGCACGGUUAUGUGAGUGGGACGUCCAGCCGGUGGGUCGUCAGGUCGCCGGGCUGGCCGCGCCCCUUGGCGGUCAACCCCGCGCUCGGGCCGUGUCGUCGUCGUCGGCGCAAGCCUCGGCGUCGGCCGCCAGUGUCGCGGGGCCCGUCUCGCAGGGUGUCGCCGCGUCGGCCCGCGGUGCCGGACCCAUGUUACUCGUCUCGGUGCUCUUAAUCGAGUGUCUUGACGGGCCGGCUCGUUUACUUUGAACAAAUUAGAGUGCUUAAAGCAGGCCAAUAUACGCCUGAAUAUUGUGUGCAUGGAAUAAUGGAAUAGGAUCUCGGUUCUAUUUUGUUGGUUUUCUGAACCAGAGAUAAUGAUUAAUAGAGACUGACGGGGGCAUUCGUAUUGCGACGUUAGAGGUGAAAUUCUUGGAUCGUCGCAAGACGAACCGAAGCGAAAGCAUUUGCCAAGAAUGUUUUCCUUAAUCAAGAACGAAAGUUAGAGGUUCGAAGGCGAUCAGAUACCGCCCUAGUUCUAACCAUAAACGAUGCCAACUAGCGAUCCGCCGGUGUUCCUCCGAUGACCCGGCGGGCAGCUUCCGGGAAACCAAAGUGUUUGGGUUCCGGGGGAAGUAUGGUUGCAAAGCUUGAAACUUAAAGGAAUUGACGGAAGGGCACCACCAGGAGUGGAGCCUGCGGCUUAAUUUGACUCAACACGGGAAACCUCACCAGGCCCGGACACUGGAAGGAUUGACAGAUUGAUAGCUCUUUCUUGAUUCAGUGGGUGGUGGUGCAUGGCCGUUCUUAGUUGGUGGAGCGAUUUGUCUGGUUAAUUCCGAUAACGAACGAGACUCUGGCCUGCUAACUAGUCGCACAUUGACGACAUCCGCAUUCGUGCUGUCGGCGACAAAUAUAAACUCUUCUUAGAGGGACAGGCGGCUUCUAGCCGCACGAGAUUGAGCAAUAACAGGUCUGUGAUGCCCUUAGAUGUUCUGGGCCGCACGCGCGCUACACUGAAGGAAUCAACGUGUGUUUUCCCUUGACCGAGAGGUCCGGGUAACCCGCUGAAACUCCUUCGUGCUAGGGAUCGGGGCUUGCAAUUCUUCCCCGUGAACGAGGAAUUCCCAGUAAGCGCGAGUCAUAAGCUCGCGUUGAUUACGUCCCUGCCCUUUGUACACACCGCCCGUCGCUACUACCGAUUGAAUGAUUUAGUGAGGUCUUCGGACCGACGCGCGGCGGCGCUCGCGAGAGCCCGUCGAUGUUCGUCGGAAAGAUGAUCAAACUUGAUUAUUUAGAGGAAGUAAAAGUCGUAACAAGGUUUC